rnacentral:rRNA from 1 species
UACGUAGGGUGCGAGCGUUGUCCGGAAUUAUUGGGCGUAAAGAGCUCGUAGGCGGUUUGUCGCGUCGACUGUGAAAACCUACAGCUUAACUGUGGGCUUGCAGUCGAUACGGGCAGACUUGAGUUCGGUAGGGGAGACUGGAAUUCCUGGUGUAGCGGUGAAAUGCGCAGAUAUCAGGAGGAACACCGGUGGCGAAGGCGGGUCUCUGGGCAGUUACUGACGCUGAGGAGCGAAAGCGUGGGGAGCGAACAGG